UUUUGCUAUUUGAAAAGGGAGUUUUGCUAUUUGAAAACGGAGUUUUGCUAUUUGAAAAGGGUGUUUUGCUAUUUGAAAAGAAAGUUUUGCUAUUUGAAAAGGGUGUUUUGCUAUUUGAAAACGGAGUUUUGCUAUUUGAAAAGGGUGUUUUGCUAUUUGAAAAGGGAGUUUUGCUAUUUGAAAAGGGAGUUUUGCUAUUUGAAAAGGGAGUUUUGCUAUUUGAAAAGGGAGUUUUGCUAUUUGAAAAGGGUGUUUUGCUAUUUGAAAACGGAGUUUUGCUAUUUGAAAAAGGUGUUUUGCUAUUUGAAAAGGGAGUUUUGCUAUUUGAAAAGGGA